rnacentral:rRNA from 1 species
GAUGAACGCUGGCGGCGUGCCUAAUACAUGCAAGUCGAGCGAACGGACGAGAAGCUUGCUUCUCUGAUGUUAGCGGCGGACGGGUGAGUAACACGUGGAUAACCUACCUAUAAGACUGGGAUAACUUCGGGAAACCGGAGCUAAUACCGGAUGAUAUUUUGAACCGCAUGGUUCAAAAGUGAAAGACGGUCUUGCUGUCACUUAUAGAUGGAUCCGCGCUGCAUUAGCUAGUUGGUAAGGUAACGGCUUACCAAGGCAACGAUGCAUAGCCGACCUGAGAGGGGGAUCGGCAACACUGGAACUGAGAAACGGUCCAGACUCCUACGGGAGGAAGAAGUAGGGAAUCUUCCGCAAUGGGCGAAAGCCUGACGGAGAAACGCCGCGUGAGUGAUGAAGGUCUUCGGAUCGUAAAACUCUGUUAUUAGGGAAGAACAUAUGUGUAAGUAACUGUGCACAUCUUGACGGUACCUAAUCGAAAGCCCCGGCUAACUACGUG